GGUCAAGCUACUAAGGGCGCACGGUGGAUGCCUUGGCAGAGACAGGCGAAGAAGGACGUGGCAAGCUGCGAUAAGCUUCGGUGAGCCGCACACAGGCGUUAUAACCGGAGAUUUCCGAAUGGGGAAACCCUCCCGAGCAAACCUCGGGAACUACCCACUGAAUACAUAGGUGGGAUAGAGCGAACUCAGGGAAGUGAACCAUCUCAGUACCUGAAGGAAAAGAAAGAAACCUCGAUUCCGAUAGUAGUGGCGAGCGAAAUCGGAAUAGCCCAAACCCGUAGCAUUUCGGUGUUUCGGGGGUUGUAGGGUCCGCAACAGUAGAGUUACCAAUCUGACAAUUAGUCGAAUCCUCUGGAAAGUGGAUCCAUAGAGCGUGACAGGCGCGUAGACGAAAAUUGUUCAGACUCGAAGCGGAUACCUGAGUAAGGCGGGGCACGUGAAACCCUGCUUGAAUCCACGGGGACCAUCCCGUAAGGCUAAAUACUAGUCUCUGACCGAUAGUGAACCAGUACCGUGAGGGAAAGGCGAAAAGAACCCCGUCGAGGGGAGUGCAAAGUACCUGAAACCGUGUGCCUACAAGCAGUGGGAGGACUAUGCCCGCAAGGGAAUGUCUGACCGCGUGCCUAUUGCAUAAUGAGCCGGCUAGUUAUUCUUGUCAGCAAGGUUAAGCGUAAGCGAGCCGAAGCGAAAGCGAGUCUGAACAGGGCGUUCAGUUGGCAGGAAUAGACGCGAAGCGGGAUGAUCUACCCAUGGCCAGGUUGAAGGUGGGGUAACACCCACUGGAGGACCGAACCGGUGUUUGUUGAAAAAAGCUCGGAUGAGCUGUGGGUAGGGGUGAAAGGCUAAUCAAAUUCCGUGAUAGCUCGUUCUCUCCGAAAUAGCUUUAGGGCUAGCCUCGGACGAAUUGCACUGGUGGUAGAGAGAUGGAUGGACUAGGGGGCUUUCCGGCUUACUGAAUCCAACCAAACUGCGAAUGCCAGCGACAACAUAUCCGGGAGUCAGACGGUGGGGGCUAAGCCUCAUCGUCGAGAGGGAAACAGCCCAGACCGCCUGCUAAGGUCCCCAAGUUACAGUUAAGUGGGAAAGGAAGUCGGAACGCUCAGACAGCCAGGAGGUUGGCUUAGAAGCAGCCAUCCUUUAAAGAAAGCGUAAUAGCUCACUGGUCAAGCGGUCCGGUGCCGACAAUACAACGGGGCUAAAACUGU
rnacentral:rRNA from 1 species